UUUAGAGUAGUUCUUGGCAUAUAGUGAGCCAUUGAUGUGUGUUGUUAAUGAUUGUUAUCAUUGCUGUUACUGUUACAGAGGGCAAGCACUGAGGAUCUGGAUAAGAGAAGAAUUGGUAGGAAAACUCUUCGGUGUGCCCAAGCAUCUCCAAAAUGUUUUUUCAAAAGACAGGUGGACUUUAGCCCCUAAGAAGAAUCUGAUGCAGUCAAUCUGGGCCAGCAGUAUGUUUUCCCUUAACCCUACAGUAACAACCCUACAGUGUCAGCUG
rnacentral:lncRNA from 1 species